rnacentral:rRNA from 1 species
AAAAUUUUUUAUUAUAUUUUAAAGUUAUAAAAAAAAUUAUUUUAAAUAUAAGAUUUUGAUUAUUAAAGGGAAAAAAGUAAAUUAAUAAUAGUUAAUAUUGUAUUGUGAAAGAAUAUUUUUAUAUAAAAAUAGAAAAAUUAAAUUUUUGUACCUUGUGUAUCAGGGUUAAUUAAAUAAUAAUUAAGUAUAUUAAUGAUCUCGAAUUUAAAAGAGUUAAUAAUUUAUAAAUUUUAUUGUUAAAUAAAUAUUUAAAAUAAAUUAUUUGAAAUGAAACGUUAUUCGUUUUUAAAUUUAUCUAGUUUUUUAAGAAAAAAAUUUAAUUUUAUUUUUAUGAAUAUAAAUUUUUUUAAUUAAAAAUAUGUUUAUAAAAGUAAAUAUUUUUAGGGAUGAGCUUAAAAAUAAAUAUUAAGAAGUUUUUAUAAUUUUUAAAAUUUGUAGGAUUAAUAAUUUUUAUCAUUAAAAUUUUGUUAUAAUUGAUUAAAAAAUAAAUAAAAUUUUUAUUAAUUUUUAAUAUUUUAUUAAAAUAUAAUUUAAAAUUUUUCAAAUUUAGAAAUUAUGAUUAAAUUAGUAAAAUGAAUUGUAUUAGAUAAUAAAAAAUAGAAAGAUAUUUAAUAAGGAAUUCGGCAAAUUUUUUUUUACCUGUUUAAUAAAAACAUGUCUUAUUGAUAAUAAUUUUAAGUCAGGCCUGCCCAUUGAAUAAAUAAUUUUAAAGGCCGCGGUAUUUUGACCGUGCAAAGGUAGCAUAAUCAUUAGUUUUUUAAUUGAAAGCUGGAAUGAAGGGUUGAAUAAAAAAAAAACUGUCUCAUUAAUAAAAUUUGAAAUUUAUUUUUAAGUUAAAAAGCUUAAAUAUAAUUAAAAGACGAGAAGACCCUUUAGAGUUUUAUUUUUAAAAAUUAAAUUAAUAUUUGGCAUUUAAAAUUAUAAAUUUUAUUUUUAAGAAUUUAAUUGGGGUGAUUGAAAAAUUUAAUAAACUUUUUUUAUUUUUUUACAAUAAUAAUUGAAUUAUUGAUCCAUAAUUUAUGAUUAUAAGAUUAAAUUACCUAAGGGAUAACAGCGUAAUUUUUUUUAAAGUUCUUAUUAAAAAAAAAGUUUGCGACCUCGAUGUUGGAUUAAAGGAAAUUUAUAGGUGUAGAAGCUGUAAAUUUAAGUCUGUUCGACUUUUGAAACUUUACAUGAUCUGAGUUUAAACCGGUGUGAGCCAGGUUGGUUUCUAUCUUUAAAAAAUUUUUAUAUUUUAGUACGAAAGGACCAAAUAUAAUAUUAAUAAUUUAAUUUUUGAUAAAAAU